ensembl:processed_transcript
AUUGCGAUCCCAAGGUUCACUGCGGUUUUCCACAAGCCUGUUUCUGCCUAUCACCAUGAGUGAUUCCUCAAUACUCAGAUUUAUCAUCAAGAUCUCAAUUAUAAGCUCAAGUUUUGAUGACAACUUGGUGAUCUGCAGAAAGCACCACCAUGUAAGGAAGGCCAAGACCACUCUGGAAUCAGUCAAGGGUUAGUGAAGUUUUUCAUUCCAUGUAUAUUAAAUAUCUACAUUGUUUAGGCAUAUAUGAUUGUAUGAGAUAAAAUGCAUUUAUUCUUUCACUACUAUUGUAAUAACAGAAAGAAACGCAUUAGUUUUACUAUUACUAUUGUUUAUGACAAACAUUAAAAAACUACAGCAUAAGCUCACAAAAUAUUGUGGCCUAACUGUUUAAAACUAAUUGUUCUGGGUGUUGAUAGUGGCCAACCAUUUUUUUUUUCUUUUUCAGAAAGUAUUUUGUUUUGUCUGAUUUUAUGACACCUUAUAGGCCAUCAACUUCCCACAUUGGGGUUUAGGAAAUUAGAACUGCUUAUGCUGCUUGUCUACUAGUCUUAGGAUAAGUUAGAAAUGUUAUAAAUGUACAUUUUUUUGUUGUUUUUAUCUGGUACAGCUCAUAGGAACUCCAAUCUUCCCAACUGUGAGAGGGCCUUGCUCCAGUGACUGUCAGUGUGUACUUCAUUGUUUCCAUUAUUCCCUGUAUCUGUAGACCUAGGUGACAGUGGGCUAGAGUAAAAUUUUGGUUUUAUUUAAACUAAGGCAUACUGAUGGCCUUUUUAUCUCAGAUUUGGUCAUGCAAGUAUUAAUAUAUCCUAAAGUAUUUUUAUAUUCUUUCCAUUGGUGGAAAAGAUGUUGGUAUAAUUAUUUUUAAUGGACUGCUAAGAUCUCAGCAGACAUUU